CCAGCACCUGCUGUACCAAUGGCCCAGAGUCGCCAUCUUGUGCUGAGGACCCAACGCCGCCAUCUUGUGCCAAGGGCCCAGAGCCACCAUCUUGUGCCAAGGGCUGAGAGCCGCCAUCUUGUGCUGAGGACCCAACGCCGCCAUCUUGUGCCAAAGACCCAGAGCCGCCAUCUUGUUCCUGGACACCUGGCCUCAGGGCGGACUCCAUCCUGACACAGGGCUGGCGCCACAGCUUCAACAGAAGCAGUGGUGGAGCACUUCCACUCACCACUUCUGCAGCUCUUUGGCUGGGUGUGGGGAACAUAGCCCUGCCAGGUUCCACCACUGUACGAUGGACACAACUCAAGUUCCUGUGGUACAAUGCCAUCAAGGACAGCUUGUGGCAGCUCAGGGUCCUGCAGGGAGAGCCAGCUGCAGGCAACCACACACACUGCUGAACUGUGCUCUGCUCCUGAGCAGGCAGCUUGCAGGCAGCUCUGCCCUG
rnacentral:lncRNA from 1 species